GGGGGAGGAGGGCUGCCAUAUUGUGUUCAUUCAGCAAAUGUUUGCUGAAUGUUGGGUGUGUAGAGCUGGCAGGGAGUCUCAGGCUUCAGCAGCAGGUGCAGGUGGCCAAGAGGCACAGGACGAGGAAGGGAGGGCACAGCCCUGGGAGGCGGGCUCAGCGUGGCAGCCAGUGCCAGGUGGGCAAGACUCAGCCUCAGGGGACAGAUGAGAGCUAUGACCUUUAUUCAGAAGGUGAUGGGAAGCCGGGGCUUGGGAAUGGCAGGAUCAAAGCAGUGUUUGUAGAAGACUGGUCUGCCUGCGUGCUGGCAGAGGACUACUCAGAUCGAGUGGGGGAGGAGACAGGAACAUUUCCUUACCUGGCAAGGGAAAGUGUGGUUACCAGAGGUGCUGCAGAGAAGACACUCAUCUGUUCCAAGGAGACUGUUUCAUGCAGAGGGUGCCAUAACAGUCAAGCUAAUGUGACCUGAAGCCCAUGACUGUGCUCCAGCCUGUCCCCUCUCUGAAGGAUGGACAGACAGACAUAUGUACAUUUCUGGUUGGUGAAAAGGGAUCUUGGAAAGGCUAAGUAACCAGCUCACCUCACACAAGAAACUUCUCAUUGCACCUGUCCUGGGCUGCAGCGGGACACUAGAACUUUUGAGAAAAAGCAGGGACCCUCCCCUAAGUGCGAGGGGUCUGAUAGGUCCCUCGCCUAUCUCAGCUGGGUGAGCUUGGGUGCACAAUGCCUCCUAGCCGCUAUUUAGUGCUGUCCUGCUUCUUCAGGCCAGUUGUGAAAACUAGGUAAGAGCAGAAAAGCUAGGGAUGUAACUCAGCGGUAGAGCAGGAGUUCAGCAUGCCCCAAGUCCUAGGGCUGAUGCCUCCCUCCCUCCCUGCACCCCCCAAAAGAAAAUGUCACCUUUUUCCAGUGUGGCAUGAUCAGCAGGGGAGAAAAUAGGUCACCAGGUCACCAUCAUCAGCCUUUGCUAACUACUGAGUAUACUCUGGCCUUUCACACACACACUCACAUGCACACAUAUACACACAGACACACACACAUGCACACACACAUAUACACAUACCUGUCCCACCUGUUCCACUCUUCCCUAGGAAUUUUGGGCUUGGCCCCUUGGCUUUUUACAUUUUCAUAUCUUUCUAACUACCUUUUUUUCAGGUUUCUGAUUUGUUGUUGUUCGUUUUUUUAAAGACAGCAUCUCUAUAAAGCCCUGACUGUCCUGGGGUGUGCUGUGUAGAGCAGGCGACUUCAAACUCACAGAGAUCCACCUGCCUCUGCUGCUGUUCACACACUUCUGGUUUGUAGCUGUUUGUUGUGUUUUGUUUUUUGUUUUUGUUGUUGUGUUUGUAUGGGGCUGGGAUUGAACCUAGAACUUCACAGUGAACAACAAGUACUCUACCUCCAGCCUUUACACCUUACUUUUCUAGUCUGGGUGUGGUAGUGCAUGCCUGUAUUCCCAGCACUUGGAGAGGAAGCUGAGGCAGGAGCAUUGCCAUGUGUUGAAGGCCAGUUUGGAUUACAUAUCAAGUUCCAACCCAGCCUGGGUUACAGAGUCUGACUCAGCUAUCCUACCAGACCCUCAUUAUUUAUUAUUUUUCUAAAUUUAGCUUGCUCAAAGGUUCCCUUUCCCUAAAAGUUCUACAGCACAUGUCUUAAUCCUUUAUUUAUGUGACAUCAAUGGUUUGUUGGCAAGACAUCGGAGGCUGGCUCACUGUGUAUGCUGACAUCUUCAUGAGCCUGUAGCUCUUUGGGGUUCCACAUCUGUAUUUGUGUACAUUUGAGUCAGUGCCAGUAAUGAACAUCUGUUGUUUUUGCCUGCCUGGCCUCUCCCACUUCUCAUUUUGGUGAAUGGCCUCUUUUCUCUCCUUGCAUUAGUUUGGGUGGGCCUGACCCUCCCCGAUUUCCCACUGGCUCAUCUUGGGAUCUGUCUGGCUCAAGUGAUAGCAUUUUAUUAUUCUCCUGACCAAAGGCUUGGUUCAGAAAUAGGCAUGUGAUCUGUCAGCUGAUGUAGCGUCACCCUUGGAAUUUCAGCUAGACACAUCUGGAAAUAAGCAGUCCCUUGGUGAUAUCCAUCCUAGUCACAGCUUGGGGACAGCCUGCUGAGGAGGAGGGAGAGUACAAGCCAAAUGCACUCCCAACUGAGAAAACAAAUAAAUGAUCUUUUAUGCUGAA